GACGAACGCUGGCGGCGUGCCUAACACAUGCAAGUCGAACGGAACUGUUUUGAAAGAUUUCUUCGGAAUGAAUUUGAUUUAGUUUAGUGGCGGACGGGUGAGUAACGCGUGAGUAACCUGCCUUCAAGAGGGGAAUAACAUUCUGAAAAGAAUGCUAAUACCGCAUGACAUAUCGGAACCACAUGGUUUUGAUAUCAAAGAUUUUAUCGCUUGAAGAUGGACUCGCGUCCGAUUAGUUAGUUGGUGAGGUAACGGCUCACCAAGACCGCGAUCGGUAGCCGGACUGAGGGGUUGAACGGCCACAUUGGGACUGAGGCACGGCCCAGACUCCUACGGGAGGCAGCAGUGGGGGAUAUUGCGCAAUGGGGGCAACCCUGACGCAGCAACGCCGCGUGAAGGAUGAAGGUUUUCGGAUUGUAAACUUCUUUUAUUAAGGACGAAAAAUGACGGUACUUAAUGAAUAAGCUCCGGCUAACUACGUG
rnacentral:rRNA from 1 species